rnacentral:piRNA from 1 species
UGAAAUAUACUCAUUUUAUUAGGUCUUAGU